rnacentral:rRNA from 1 species
CCCGGUAAUUAGCUUGUUGGUGAGGUAAUGGCUUACCAAGGCAAUGAUCAGUAGCUGGUCUGAGAGGAUGAUCAGCCACACUGGGACUGAGACACGGCCCAGACUCCUACGGGAGGCAGCAGUGAGGAAUUUUCCGCAAUGGGCGACAGCCUGACGGAGCAAUGCCGCGUGAAGGAUGAAGGCCUAUGGGUUGUAAACUUCUUUUCUCAGAGAAGAAGCAUUGACGGUAUCUGAGGAAUAAGCAUCGGCUAACUCUGUGCCAGCAGCCGCGGUAAGACAGAGGAUGCAAGCGUUAUCCGGAAUGAUUGGGCGUAAAGCGUCUGUAGGUGGCUUAAAAAGUCUCCUGUCAAAGAUCAGGGCUUAACCCUGGGCCGGCAGGAGAAACUCUUAGGCUAGAGUUUGGUAGGGGCAGAGGGAAUUCCCGGUGGAGCGGUGAAAUGCGUAGAGAUCGGGAGGAACACCAAAGGCGAAAGGG